rnacentral:rRNA from 1 species
UACGGAGGGGGCUAGCGUUGUUCGGAAUUACUGGGCGUAAAGCGCACGUAGGCGGCUUUGUAAGUUAGAGGUGAAAGCCCAGAGCUCAACUCUGGAACUGCCUUUAAGACUGCAUCGCUUGAAUCAUGGAGAGGUAAGUGGAAUUCCGAGUGUAGAGGUGAAAUUCGUAGAUAUUCGGAAGAACACCAGUGGCGAAGGCGACUUACUGGACACAUAUUGACGCUGAGGUGCGAAAAGCGUGGGGAGCAAACAGG